AGUGAACGCUGGCGGCGUGCUUAACACAUGCAAGUCGAACGAGAACGGAAUAUAGCUUGCUAUAUUUGUCAGCUAAGUGGCGCACGGGUGAGUAAUGUAUAGAUAACCUGCCCUUAAGAAAGGAAUAACAGUUGGAAACGACUGCUAAUGCCCUAUAUGCCUUUAAUACAUAAGUAUGCAAGGGAAACGCUUUAGUGCUUAAGGAUGGGUCUGUAUGGUAUCAGCUUGUUGGUGAGGUAAUGGCUCACCAAGGCUAUGACGCCUAACUGGUUUGAGAGGAUGAUCAGUCACACUGGAACUGAGACACGGUCCAGACUCCUACGGGAGGCAGCAGUGGGGAAUAUUGCACAAUGGACGAAAGUCUGAUGCAGCAACGCCGCGUGGAGGAUGACACAUUUCGGUGCGUAAACUCCUUUUGCCAAGUCACUACGGCUUGGCGAAUAAGCACCUGCUAACCACGUGCCAGCAGCCGCCGUAA
rnacentral:rRNA from 1 species